CUCGGUAAAACGGGCGGAGCAAGUUCUCAUCCGGGGAUUUACAGCGGACUUGCUGAGAAGGGAACUUUGAAUUGGAACAGGACUUGGACCGCGCGUGAUGACGUUUCACGAGUCCACGAGCACACAAGUCCGCACAACUACACAGAUUGAGAAACGGCCAAACUCUUUUCAGUAAAGUCAGUAACUCCAUGAUGGAUCCUCAUGUUUGUGUCCCGGGAAGAGUGGACGUGGGGCGGGACGUGAGAGGAGGGAGGAGAGGGGCCAGAGAAGCCAGGAGAUUGAGCAAUGUGCUGGAUUGGACUUUGGCUCGAGAGCUCCGUGAAUCUGUGACUGCUGCGCUGGUUUAUAAGUGAGAGGGAGAGGUGGACGGAGGGGACAAGGAGAGAGAGAGAGAGACAGGACACCAGCGGCGGAGGGGACAGAGGGGACACACAGAGGACAGCCUGUGAAGAGGAUGUGGAUGGACACGAAGGCCGACGCGGGGGACAGCAGCAGGGACACGGGGCUGGCUGGGUCCAGAAAGUCCUCCUGUGCACGGGGGACAUGCAGCACCUGGACAAACUCAUGCAGGAUCGGUGGUGGGUCCUGCAGCUGCUGCUCUGGGCGCUCCGCGGAGUGGCCAGGGUCAUUCUGGCUAAUAACCCCAUCAGCGGGCUCCUCAUCCUGGCCGCGCUCCUCUGGGCCUCCCCCUGGCAGGGUCUGCUGGGGAGUGUGGGCGUGCUGUGCUCCACACUCACCGCAGUCAUCACCGGACAGGACAAGUCAGAGAUCAGCGCGGGUUCGGCCGGGGACUGGUACUGGACUCUCCUGCUGCCCGUGAGCCUGGGCUCAGCCACAUGCGUGCUCCUGUUCUCCAGCCUGUCUCCUCUGCUGGACCGCUGGGACCUGCCCGUCGCUGUGUUCCCCUUCAACAUUACCAUCGUCCUGUUCCUCCUGUGCACCGGCCCGGAGCACCCAUACUUCCCCCGGCACCCGGCUGUCCCUCCUGGGGCUGUGCAAGUGAACGCCACACAGCUCGACACGCUCCAGGUUUUACGGGGCAUCCCUCUGGGCAUCGGGCAGAUCUACGCCUGGACGCUGGCCGGCCUGUCGCUGGGCGUGCGUCUCCCCUCGCUGUACGAGGGCCUCUCGGGGUUUAACGGGGCGCUCGGGUGCAUGACUGUGGGAGGACUGUUCUUCACCUUCAGCUGGAGGACGCACCUGUUCGCCAUCGCCAGUGGCUUCUUCUCUGCGUACAUGGACAUCGCCUUGAGCAACCUCCUGGGAACGGUGGGGCUCCCAGCAUGCAGUUGGGCAGCGACCAUUGUGACCAUGCUCAUGCUGCUGAUGAACGGCUCUCUGAAAGCCUACCGCAUCCCCAUUGGUCAGGUGCAGUCACCUGAGCAGAACCUCCGCUCCCGAAACCAAUGGGAGGCCGGCAGGAGCGCGGACCAAGACAAUACGGACGUAUAGUCCACACAAGAGACUCAUUCCAACACAUUUACUCAUGUGCAGAAGGUUUGUCUAACUGUGCUUUUGAUAGAUUAAGUCGGUUGAUGAAAAAAGGACAUCCACAUCUGUGUACUUCACUGCCUCGUGUGGAUACUUACUUUCCCACUUGCAAAUGACGACUUACGACCUCUGCGCGUCCAGGUGAAUAAAGUCAUAUGUAAACAGAAUGGCUAAUGCUAC
rnacentral:lncRNA from 1 species